rnacentral:rRNA from 1 species
GACGAACGCUGGCGGCGUGCUUGACACAUGCAAGUCGAACGGAAAGGCCUGCCUUCUCUUGUGGAUUGCGGGUACUCGAGUGUCGAACGGCUGAGUAACACCUGCCUGAUCUGCCCCCAACUUGGGUAUAAGCCUGGGAAACUGGGUCUUAUUCCCGAUAGGACCGCAGGGUGGUGCCUGAGGUGGCAAACGAUGUGCAAGUGGUUGCGGAUGAGCUCGCGGGCUAUCAGCUAGUUGGUGGAGUAAUGGCCUACCGAGGGCGGGACGGUGAGCCGGCCAGGGAGGGUCGACGGCAACAGUUGAACUGAGAUACGGGGCCGAAGCUUACGGAAGGCAUCAGAGGGGAAGAUUGCGCAAGGAGCGGGAGCCUAAUGCAGGAACGCCGCGGGGGGGAUGACGGCUUUCGGGUUGUAAACUUCGUUCGACCGCGAGCAAUCGACCUGGUUGGAAGGGGAGUGACGGUAGUGGUAGAAGAAGCACCGGCUAACUACGUG